rnacentral:snRNA from 1 species
AUCGCUUCUCGGCCUUUUGGCUAAAAUCAAGUG